GUGUAAACGCUUAGAAUAAGACAAUCUUCUAGUCCAUUACGAUCACCUUGGGCACAACCAGGAGGCAAAUCAAUUGAGUUAUAGAUUUCGUCAUCGGGGUAUGGAUAGUUUGAAGGAACCGGAGGCUGGUAUAUACCGACAGGAAUCGAGUCUCAUAAGUUGGUUUUGCCGCGUAAUGGAAAUAACGAAAAGAGUAAAACGGACGUCGCGGCUCAUACCAGGAUGUGCUCAGGUUUCCUGUAGAAUUCGUUUAUCGUGAUGGUGAAGAGCAUCAUUAAAAAACUAAGAUAAGUGCAAAAACUCACCAAAACCUCCUAAAACAGUUUUUGCGUAGCCAGGAAGUUCCAUGAUAAAUGGUUCGGAGAAACAUGGCACAGCCAAGUAGGUUGCUACUAAAACGCACAACACUUCGAAUUUCAUGACUGCCAAACCCUAAGAAAUUCUUCCUAAUCCAAGUUUUUAUUUGUCUAACCAGUACUUUUAUUCUCAACUUUUUUUUUUGUAUCAACAUGAGUAUUUGUAUUGUGACUAUUUGCGUUCUGUUUUACUAUCACAUUCACAUGUCAUGGAAGAUUUCAGCUACACGCUCACGUUGCUUUAUCAAGAUAAAAUCAAUAUUUUGGGAUCCUAUUGAACUGGUCAUGGAGUGCACUUAAUCGAGUUGUAUUUUGAAAUUGCGUACUUUAUUUUUCGGUUGUCACUAUGGGUGUACAUAUUUUAACUGAAUUUUGGCCUUUUUGUAAACUCAUUCUCUAUUUGUCUUGAAAGAAAAAUAAAAUCUAACUGGCGCAUACUUUA